UACGUAGGGUGCAAGCGUUGUCCGGAAUUAUUGGGCGUAAAGAGCGUGUAGGCGGCCAAGCAGGUCCGCUGUGAAAACUCGAGGCUCAACCUCGAGACGUCGGUGGAAACCAUCUGGCUAGAGUCCGGAAGAGGAGAAUGGAAUUCCCGGUGUAGCGGUGAAAUGCGCAGAUAUCGGGAAGAACACCCGUGGCGAAGGCGGUUCUCUGGGACGGUACUGACGCUGAGACGCGAAAGCGUGGGGAGCGAACAGG
rnacentral:rRNA from 1 species